AUUAUGUAUAAAAAGAAAUUAUUAUGGAUAAUUAGCUAUAUAUUAAAGAAUCACAUAGAUGUUAUCUUGAUUCUAAGAGAAAUCCUAAAUAAUAAAACAAAGUGAAUUGAAAUAUCUUAGUAACUUUAGGAAAAUAAAUCAAACGAGAUUGUUAUUUAAGUAAAUACUAAAUAAUAAUAGCCUAAUUUAAGUAAAAUGGAUAAUAUCUGUUUGAAUAUAGGGGAACCUUCCUCUAAGGCUAAAUAUGAUAUAUAAGCGAUAGUGAAUAGUACCGUGAGGUAAAAUUUGAAAUAGUAAUUUUAUAAGCAGCUCGAGUAAAAAUUAAAAUUAAAAAUAAGAGUGUACCUUUUGCAUAAUGGGUCAGCAAGUUAAUUUUAGAUGCAAGUGUAUAAUUUUUAGUAUUUUUUGAGAUAUUAAAUUAUCUAAGAUAAACCAAUUAUGAAAAAAUGAUAAGUAUCUAAAAUUAGACCCGAAGGCUAGUGAUCUUACCAUGGUCAGGGUUAAAAAAGCCCGAACGGGUUAUCGUUGUAUAGAUAUCCGAUGAAUUGUGGUAAGUUAGUGAAAGAUAAAACUGACUAGUAUAGCUGGUUUUCCGCGAAACCUAUGUGAGUAGGUAAUUUAAUUAACAUCUUAGCAGGUACAGAACUGUGAUCUCGGACAAUAUUAUUUAUAUAAUAUUUGUUUACAUCGGGGGAUUGUAGUGAUUUUAUCGGAGAGUAUUUGCACUCGGAAGGGCAAAGAUGAUUGUUGAAUAAUCGGACAUAGUACGAUAAGGUUGUAUGUCUAAAGGGAAACAGCCCAGAACAAGAGUUUAAGGUUCCAAAAUUAUUGUUAAGUGAAAUUAAGGAUGUUUUUUUCAAAAACAAUCAGGAAAUAGGCUUAGAGGCGGCCAUUUUUUGAAGAUCUCGUAACAGAGCACUGAUUAAAUUUAAUAGGAAAAAAUACCGAAAAUUUAACGGAUCUAAAUAAUAUACCGAAACCUUGUACACAAUAACUGUGGGGUAGCGGAACAUCGGAUGUUUGAAUAUUAAGUAUAUUUUUUUUUUUAAGUAUACUUACAAGUAUAAUAUAAUAUAUACUUUUUAUUUUAUAUUAUACUGAGAGAAUUCCGAUAGAUAAUGCUGACAUGAGUAACGAAAAAGUUAACCUCGCCUUAAGCUUAUGGUAUUUUAUUUAAUUUUCGGUGUCUAAGUAAUUAAUCUAAAGAUAAUUGCGAUGACGUAAUGGUGAAUAUGUAAUUAAUAUAUUUAUUAAUUAUAUUUCUAACUAAUUACUAAACUAUUGAUAUACAAUAUGUAUAUAUUUAUUAUUUUAUUGAAAGAUUGCAUAACCUUUGUAAAGUAGCAUAGGUUCAGGAAGUAAAUUUUUCAUUAUAUAUAUAUAUAUAUACUUAGAUAUUGCUGUAUUAAAUUAUAUAGUUAUAGUAGUUAGUAUAUACCGUACCUAGAUACUAACACAAGUAAGCAAGUAGAGUAUACAAAGGCGUUUGAGUGAACAAUCAUUAAGGAACUCGGCAAAUUAACUACCGUAACUUCGGGAUAAGGAGAACCAUUUUUAUUAGUUUGACCAAUUUUUGGAUAAUUAUUAAAUUAAUAGAAAGAGGAGGCAUAGAAUAAUGUUGUACGACUGUUUAAUAAAAACAAAGCACUCUGCCAAGAUAAAAUGUCUAAGUAUUGAGUGUGAUGUCUGCCCAAUGUCGGCUGGAUAACGAAUUUAUCUUGAUAUUUAUUUAAGGUUUUGAAGGAUACCCCGAUCAAUGGCGGCCUUACCUAUGAGGGUCCUAAGGUAG
rfam:Talaromyces stipitatus ATCC 10500 scf_1107713416335 genomic scaffold, whole genome shotgun sequence.